rnacentral:rRNA from 1 species
CCUACGGGUGGCAGCAGUGGGGAAUAUUGGACAAUGGGGGCAACCCUGAUCCAGCCAUGCCGCGUGUGUGAAGAAGGCCCUCGGGUUGUAAAGCACUUUCAGUGAGGAAGAACGCCUGGUGGUUAAUACCCAUCAGGAAAGACAUCACUCACAGAAGAAGCACCGGCUAACUCCGUGCCAGCAGCCGCGGUAAUACGGAGGGUGCGAGCGUUAAUCGGAAUUACUGGGCGUAAAGCGCGCGUAGGUGGCUUGAUAAGCCGGUUGUGAAAGCCCCGGGCUCAACCUGGGAACGACAUCCGGAACUGUCAAGCUAGAGUGCAGGAGAGGAAGGUAGAAUUCCCGGUGUAGCGGUGAAAUGCGUAGAGAUCGGGAGGAAUACCAGUGGCGAAGGCGGCCUUCUGGACUGACACUGACACUGAGGUGCGAAAGCGUGGGUAGCAAACAGGAUUAGAUACCCGAGUAGUC